rnacentral:rRNA from 1 species
UACAGAGGUCUCAAGCGUUGUUCGGAUUCAUUGGGCGUAAAGGGUGUGUAGGCGGCGCGGUAAGUCGGGUGUGAAAUCUCGGAGCUUAACUCCGGAACUGCAUUCGAUACUGCCGUGCUUGAGGACUGGAGAGGAGACUGGAAUUUACGGUGUAGCGGUGAAAUGCGUAGAUAUCGUAAGGAAGACCAGUGGCGAAGGCGGGUCUCUGGACAGUUCCUGACGCUGAGGCACGAAGGCCAGGGGAGCAAACGGG